UACGGAGGGUGCAAGCGUUGUUCGGAUUAUUGGGCGUAAAGCGCGUGUAGGCGGUUCUUAAGUCUGAUGUGAAGCCCUGGGCUCAACCCAGGAAGUGCAUUGGAUACUGGGAGACUUGAAUACGGGAGAGGGUAGUGGAAUUCCUAGUGUAGGAGUGAAAUCGUAGAUGAGUUAAGGAGGAACACCGGUCGGCGAAGGCGGCACC
rnacentral:rRNA from 1 species